AUUGAACGCUGGCGGCAUGCCUUACACAUGCAAGUCGAACGGCAGCACGGGAGCAAUCCUGGUGGCGAGUGGCGAACGGGUGAGUAAUAUAUCGGAACGUGCCCAGUCGUGGGGAUAACGUAGCGAAAGCUACGCUAAUACCGCAUACGAUCUAUGGAUGAAAGCGGGGGAUCGCAAGACCUCGCGCGAUUGGAGCGGCCGAUAUCAGAUUAGGUAGUUGGUGAGGUAAAGGCUCACCAAGCCGACGAUCUGUAGCUGGUCUGAGAGGACGACCAGCCACACUGGGACUGAGACGCGGCCCAGACUCCUACGGGAGGCAGCAGUGGGGAAUUUUUGGACAAUGGGCGCAAGCCUGAUCCAGCAAUGCCGCGUGCAGGAUGGAAGGCCUUCGGGUUGGUUAAACUACGGUCUUUUGUACGGUAACGAAACGGUAG
rnacentral:rRNA from 1 species